rnacentral:lncRNA from 1 species
GGGGAUUCUUCUCUAAUCUUUCAGAAACUUUGUCUGCGAACACUCUUUAAUGGACCAGAUCAGGAUUUGAGCGGAAGAACGAAUGUAACUUUCUUAAGAGGCAUUUCAUCCUUCAUGAAGCUGUUCAGGAUUUUGAAUUGCAUAUGGGUGCUUGGCUCUCCUUCUGUUCUCCUAACUUCACAGAGAAUGCAGUUGUCUUGACUUCAGAUGCAACCUUAAAAUCAGUGACAAGAAACAAAAU